rnacentral:rRNA from 1 species
AUUGAACGCUGGCGGCAGGCCUAACACAUGCAAGUCGAACGAGUGGCGGACGGGUGAGUAAUGUCUGGGAAACUGCCUGAUGGAGGGGGAUAACUACUGGAAACGGUAGCUGAUACCGCAUACCAUCGGAUGUGCCCAGGUGGGAUUAGCUAGUAGGGGGGGUAAAGGCGCACCUAGGCGACGAUCCCUAGCCGGUCUGAGAGGAUGCCCAGCCACACUGUAACUGAGACACGGUCCAGCGUCCUACGGGAGGCAUCUGUGGGGAAUAUUGCACAAUGGGCGCAUGCCUGAUGCAGCCAUGCCGCGUGUAUGAAGGAGUCCUUCGGGUUGUAAAGUACUUUCAGCGGGGAGGCGUUACCCGCAGAAGAAGCACCGGCUAACUCCGUGCCAGCCGCCGCGGUAAUUC